rnacentral:tRNA from 1 species
CGGAGUAUAGCGCAGCCUGGUAGCGCACCUCGUUCGGGACGAGGGGGUCGGAGGUUCGAAUCCUCUCGCUCCGACCA